rnacentral:lncRNA from 1 species
CGAUGGGAUCUGGUUCCGGCGGUGAUACAUGGUCCAUGUGUGGCCCCCAUGGGUUCUGAUUUGAGUAUUCAGCGCGGACUGAUUACGUCAACAGAUGUGUAUCGUAGGACAGACAUUCAUCACGACUACAUGACAUCAUUAUUGCAUUUUGCAUCGCAUUUGCCUUAUCUUUGUCUGUGAUGUGUGGAUUGUAUCGGUUUACCCUUCUUAUGUGGAAUUUGAUCUACUUGCUCUUAUUUGUUGAUCUGAGGUUGAUGAGGAUAUAC